UACGGAGGGGGCUAGCGUUGUUCGGAAUUACUGGGCGUAAAGGGAGCGUAGGCGGGUUAUCAAGUUGGAGGUGAAAGCCCAGGGCUCAACCUUGGAAUUGCCUUCAAAACUGAUAGCCUAGAGUAUGAUAGAGGUAUGUGGAACUCCGAGUGUAGAGGUGAAAUUCGUAGAUAUUCGGAAGAACACCAGUGGCGAAGGCGACAUACUGGGUCAUGACUGACGCUGAGGCUCGAAAGCGUGGGGAGCAAACAGG
rnacentral:rRNA from 1 species